AACUACCUGCCUUGUUAGUGAUAGAAAAUCAAACUUUUUCCGACAUUCGAGUUUAUGGGAGCCAGCGAAUUGUAAGUGUUGCGCGCCCUGUAAUGGGGAAUAAGCCUGAUCUUGCUUUCAAGGUGCCCACCUGUUUUAACAGGGAUUGAAGUUUGUUUCUACACGGCAAGGUGGGUUACAA
rfam:Nitrospira bacterium SG8_35_1 WOR_8-12_23337, whole genome shotgun sequence.